UCCAUAAUUUGUAUUCUGCUUUCUUUUGCAUAUAGUUUUUGUAAUUAUAAUGCAUAGAAGAUAUAAUACUAGUUAUGUUGUGUCAAAUUAAUCAUGCAUUAAUAUGCAGGAUAGAUUUUGUUGGUGUUGCUGCAAUAUGGUGCUGUUUUUUUGUGUGUACGAGGCAACUGUUCAUAAGCCGGACGAUGCAAUGUUUUCCGAACCGAUCGACGAAGAUCAUGUUGGUUGAGCUGUUUUGAAUAGAUUUUUAUUUUUUAAUUUCAUAUUUUUGUAGUCCCCUAGUACGAUGUUUGGGCUUAUUAUAACUCAUGAACUACUAGUAUCUAUUUUAAUAGUUUUUAUUGUCAAAUAUUGAUUUAGAAACUUGGGUUUAAUUAAUGUCUUUUUUAUCUA